GAUGAACGCUGGCGGCGUGCCUAAUACAUGCAAGUCGAGCGAACGGACGAGAAGCUUGCUUCUCUGAUGUUAGCGGCGGACGGGUGAGUAACACGUGGAUAACCUACCUAUAAGACUAGGAUAACUUCGGGAAACCGGAGCUAAUACCGGAUAAUAUUUUGAACCGCAUGGUUCAAAAGUAAAAGACGGUCUUGCUGUCACUUAUAGAUGGAUCCGCGCUGCAUUAGCUAGUUGGUAAGGUAACGGCUUACCAAGGCAACGAUGCAUAGCCGACCUGAGAGGGUGAUCGGCCACACUGGAACUGAGACACGGUCCAGACUCCUACGGGAGGCAGCAGUAGGGAAUCUUCCGCAAUGGGCGAAAGCCUGACGGAGCAACGCCGCGUGAGUGAUGAAGGUCUUCGGAUCGUAAAACUCUGUUAUUAGGGAAGAACAUAUGUGUAAGUAACUGUGCACAUCUUGGCGGUACCUAAUCAGAAAGCCACGGCUAACUACGUG
rnacentral:rRNA from 1 species